rnacentral:rRNA from 1 species
UGGGGAAUAUUGGACAAUGGGGGGAACCCUGAUCCAGCCAUGCCGCGUGUGUGAAGAAGGCCUUAUGGUUGUAAAGCACUUUAAGCGAGGAGGAGGGUACUGGUAUUAAUACUACCAGGUACUGGACGUUACUCGCAGAAUAAGCACCGGCUAACUCUGUACCAGCAACCGCGGUAAUACAGAGGGUGCGAGCGUUAAUCGGAUUUACUGGGCGUAAAGCGUGCGUAGGCGGCUAAUUGAGUCGGAUGUGAAAUCCCCGAGCUUAACUUGGGAAUUGCAUUCGAUACUGGUUAGCUAGAGUGUGGGAGAGGAUGGUAGAAUUCCAGGUGUAGCGGUGAAAUGCGUAGAGAUCUGGAGGAAUACCGAUGGCGAAGGCAGCCAUCUGGCCUAACACUGACGCUGAGGUACGAAAGCAUGGGGAGCAAACAGG